UAGGGAAUAUUGGGCAAUGGGCGAAAGCCUGACCCAGCAACGCCGCGUGCGUGAUGAAGGUCUUCGGAUCGUAAAGCGCUUUUCUGGGAGAUGAGAAAGGACAGUAUCCCAGGAAUAAGUCUCGGCUAACUACGUGCCAGCAGCCGCGGUAAAACGUAGGAGGCAAGCGUUAUCCGGAUUCACUGGGCGUAAAGCGCGUGCAGGUGGCGCGGUAAGUUGGGCGUGAAAUCUCCCGGCUCAACUGGGAGAGGUCGUCCAAUACUACCGUGCUUGAGAGCAGAAGAGGAAGAUGGAAUUCCCGGUGUAGUGGUGAAAUGCGUAGAUAUCGGGAGGAACACCAGUGGCGAAGGCGAUCUUCUGGUCUGUUUCUGACACUCAGACGCGACAGCUAGGGUAGUAAACGGGAUUAGAGACCCCGGUAAUCCUAGCCGUAAACGAUGUGAACUUGGCGUUGGUGGGUUAAACUCCAUCAGUGCCGCAGCAAACGCGAUAAGUU
rnacentral:rRNA from 1 species